CAGAGGAGGAAUGGAGAGAGAGACAGGAAGAGGAAUGGAGAGAGAGAGAGAGAGAGAGAGAGAGAGAGAGAGAGAGAGAGAGAGUCACACCGUCAACCAGAGCACCACCACAUUAAUAAGGUGGGGAAGGAGUCACUCUACAUCGGGUUAAUAAACAGUUAUUCAUCUUCAGCAUGGCACCCAGGAAACAGGAGUUGGUUUGCCCUUGGGCUAAUCUUCAGGCCUGUGGACGACAGCCAAUCCAUCAGAGCACUAUUUAGACUGCAUACUACAAACUUUAAGACCUCUGGAAGAAGCAAGGUGAGGAAAGAGAAAAUGAGAGAGUGAUUGAAGAGGGAACGGAUGACAAGAAGGGGGAGAUGAUGUGGGAUAAGGUGGAGAGAAAGUGGGUGGGAGAGAAAGGUGAGAGGGGUUGGGCUGCUGGUCUUGCAGUGAUUUAUGAUGUUUAGAAAGUCAGGCUGUUUGAAUUAAUGAGGUAGAAUUGGUGAAAUCUACUUAGAGUUGUGUGUGUGUGUGUGUGUGUGUGUGUGUGUGUGUGUGUGUGUGUGUGUGUGUGUAGGUCAUUGGACAUAACCAUCAGUAACUGUGUAUUUAGGGGUUUGAAAUGACUCUCAAAUUGCAUUGCAUUAUUACAAAUGUGUCCAGAAAGAUGACUUAUGUUUGGAGCAGUAAAAUUGAAAACUUGGAGCUUGUUUGACCUUGAGAAAUGCUGAGGCAAACUGAGUUUUUGUCAUAUGGCGUCCUAUAAUAACUGUAUCAACAGAGGCAUCAUGGCUGACAGAUCUGAAAUCUAAUACACCUCAUCAAUUUCACAUAGCAGCAUGCAAAAAUACAAAAUAAUAUAUUCCUUAUAUUGCUUUCCAAGACUCACAGACAAACUUGUUUGUUACCUGCAACCAAGAAGAGACAAGGUCACAUUACAAAUUCACCAGCGCUGCAGCACAUUUCUUUUCAAGUUGUCAGCACUCUGAAGAGAGAUGGUGAUGAAAAAUUGCUUGUUUGCUCUGUCAGAAUUAUAUGUCCAAACAUCUAUCUCUCUAUUCAACAAACCAUGGCUUCAAUUCAUCCUUUCAUCAUUCCUGCUUUUUUUAACUUAUACCGAAUAUUUUCAGAGGUUGAACUCCAAAAUUUUCGUAUACUCUUCAAAAAAGACCAUGCAAUUACAUUUUCAAGGGGGCCAGAUUUGUAAACCAGAGAAUCCCCUAAGACAGAGGUCCCCAAUCACCGGGCCCCAGACGGGUACCGGGCCGCAAAAAAAUUAUUAUUGUUAAAUUUUUAUCCGUCCUCCCAGUACCUCAUUUUAAAAGACCACCCCCUCCGCCAUCGCCUCACUUUCGCCAUCGCCUCAAUUACGCUCUUGACUCUUCAGCAUGUCAUUUUCCUGCAUUAGCAACACAUGCCAUCCCUUGCAAAAAUGGGCCAGACACGGAGUUCACUGGAUGAGAAAGAGUUGAUUCUGCAUUAUGGUGAGUUGAUGUUAAAGUGUAAUGAAAAGUGCCUAAUAUAAAAUGUAAUUGUUGUUUCCAGAUUACAUACUAUGUACUGAUUAAGGUUUUUGUUAUUGGAACCUCCACGGCCCUAUCUGGUCCUUGGAAAAAGUUUCCUGCAUUAAACUUGACUCUGGUAAAAAAAAAAAAAAAAAAAGGUUGGGGACCACUGCCCUAAGAGAACCCCUAGCUCAGUGUUAAGGCUUAACCUAAUCUUUGGGCAGAUGACACUAUGAAGCUUUGGGAAUUCCUGUUGAAUUGUGCUAAAAGAGAUUUGAAACUUAGAAGGUUCAGACUCAGCAAACAUGGAUACAUUUGGUGACCCAUUAAACUAAAUUAUGGUCUGAAGCACCAUUGUGUAACCCCGUUUUAGUCUUUGGGAAAGAAAAGUAUACGAGGCCUGCGCAUUGUGAAUUACCACUAUCUGUUCGUUUUGUUUGAGUUUACUAGUGUUAUAUAGGCAUACUCAUACUGUGAUGUAGGCUACUUAAGUGCAAGUUUGUUGCUAAUAAUUUAUAAUCUGUGCAUAAGCACAAAGCUCCAAUAUUUAUUUCAUCUACAGUGUUUUUGCAUGUAAAACACACGUUAACAUGUUUGGUUAUUAAAUAAGUGGCUUUUUUUCUUACUAUCUUUGACUGAACAUACAGCAAAUCUCCAUUUAGUCUGCAUCAGUGCUCAGGUUUAGUAGGCACCCCUGUCUCAACAUCAAGCCAAAAGAGAAGUAAGGCUAUAAUUAUAUUUAUAUAUAGAUAUGUGUGUGUGUGUGUGUGUGUGUGUGUGUGUGUGUGUGUGUGUGUGUGAAAAUAGUAUGGUAGCACAUGCCCAUAGUAAGCCUAUACCUGUUCUGCUCUCAUUUAAAAAUGAAUUUCUUCUCUGCCUCUAGUUCUUUCUCACUGCUGGUUUGUGCGCAACAUCCAAAACAGUUCAGCGUCUAUAGCAAGAGUAAUUUGGCAGGCCUGCACUUCCUAAAUCCCCCAUCUCUUUUAAAAAAUGCCGGACUUAGAGGUUGACCUGACUAACACCGAUCUCAUCAGCACACCAUCUAUAUCUCAAGUAACCCGGAGCAGUACAAGGAACGCAACCAGGCUCGAAAGCACCUAACCAGAAAUUCUGGAAAUGCUAAGCCCAAGGAAUCAACCCAGCUCCCGGCUUGAAGCUUGCUUAGCCACAAGCCUCCUCCUCCUGCAUUACCUCUGACACUCCAGACCGGCCUGAGAAAACGUAUCAGUGGCUACCACUCUUCAGACUCUGAUAAACUCUGUUCAACUCAUUAACAACCACUGCAAUUCCUGUAUAAUACGGCAGCUCCCUCAGUGGUAACACCAGCCUCUCAACUCCUCCUGAACCAAACACAAGCCUUAACCUCAGCUCUGCAUGUAUCCACCUGCUCCUUAAUUGCACCUGCCAUGUCCCAGCAUUCAGUGGCGGUUCUACACCAAAUUACUCCCCGGGCGAGCACCCCCCCCCCCCCCCCCCACACACACACACACACACACACACACACACACACACAAACACAAAAAGACAUAGAAUUUUGAACAGAUAGUUUUGUAUUACUAUGUAGUAUUAUUAUUAUUAUAACAACAAAAAUAAUAUAUUUCUCAAUUGCAGAAAUCCUUCAUAGAAAAAAACACAAUCCUGAGGGCCAUUUUGAGAAGGGCCCCCAGAUCCUGAGGUUUUCUGACGUGUUAAGGUUUACAAAAAAGCUGCUAUCUCUGCCUCUGUAGUAGAUAGAAACAAAAUUCAAAAAGUAUUUGAGAGCUUAAACGUGGCUUUCAAGAAAGCUCUCUUUUAGUUUUGAGAACCUUCAUCACAUUUUUGAAAACCUUGAACAAACAAACUCAAAUGAAAUAAAGCGGCUGUAUAAAUAAAAGUAAAGGCUCUGCACUGGAGAAUGACAAAUAAUUUGCUUUCUGUAAAACAAGUGUGAGUCAUGAUAAAGUGUCCAUUCAAUACAAAUGUAAAUGUAGAAAAUAAGGUGUUGAAAGGGUAUACAGCUGCCCCAGUAUAGUGCCAGUACAAAAGCAGAACUAAAAACUAAAAAGUGAAUAAAUAAAUACGUGGCUGACAGUGUGUUCAUCUCUGUUCUCACCCAAAGUCAUGCAACACUCAGAGAAAACGCUGAUAGUGUGAGCCAAAGGACUCCAUAUGAAGAGGUUGUUCACACUGCUGGAUGUUUCUCCUCUGAAGCUGCUCUCUGCCUCAGUCAUUGUUUACUUUACUCACGAAGCUCAUCAAGCACGUAGCAAGAUCCGAGCAUGAACCCGAGUGCUUUAUUCGCCUAUCAAAGGCAGACGGGUACGGUGAUUUCAUUCACCGCGACUCCAGAAAUGAUUAAAAAACUACAAAAUGACGUAUCCGCGCUCCCGCUGAUAUGCUGACAUGCGUACACAGAGCAGAGCUGUCCCCCCGCGACUCUCUCCCCGCCUCGUCUCACACAGUCUGUCAGCCUCUGUGCAGCACCUUCGGAGCAAGCAGGGGCGCCUACAGCAGCGGGGGGGCGCCAAUUUGACAACAAGACUUAAUACAAAACCGCUUUGCGGUCAAGAUUUAUUAUUAUUAUCUUUUAUUUUAUUUUUUUGGAAGUGCUCGUGCCGCCCCCCAUGAGUCAUGACACAAAUGCCGCCCCGGGCGGCUGCCCUGUUCGCCCGUGCCUAGAACCGCUACUGCCAGCAUUAGCCUCACAGCUUCUCCACUAGGUAGGCCCUUUGUCCCUUUCUGCGCAAACAUUUCAACUCAUUUAAGAUCUAAAAGUCUUCAGGGCAAAGAUAUCAACCUCUGCCAUCUCCAGAGUGCCAUAAUUCAGCGUCCAUCAGGGAAAAUUCCCCCAUCUCAAAGUCAGCCGACCCCAGAUUAACAAGGGAUAUGUCCAUCUGAGAGUUUGUUGAUCAUUUAAUGCCUGGUCUAUCCCAGGGGGUUUCGGGUAGGGGUCACGUCUUCUCUGGCCUCUUCUUACCAGUGUAAAAAAAAAAAAACUCCAGUCAUCCAUUACCGAACCUCAAAUUGUCUCUCAGCUACAAAUAACUGAACAGGUAAGGCCAUUUAAUUUUUCCUUUUGAGUCUUCACCUUUCCCCAUAUUUCACUCCAGUCCCUCAGGCGUAGAAACACGUAAAUACUCUGGAAAGAAAAGAUCAAUAUUUGAUCUGUCCACUCCUCACAACGGGCCUUUCCCAAGCAUGAACAGUCUCAUCCCAUUAAAGACUUUCUCACUUCACUACUCCUCCAUAGACAAUGCCGUGAAACUCAUCAAGCUCGCAGGCCAAGGCAUGUGGCGCUCCAAAGCCGACAUCAACCAAUUCAUCCUUCACAGUGGCAUCUGUUUGAUCUAAAUUAGGAAUCCAAACUGUAUUUCGCUGUGUGCCUCACAUUACGAUGCAAAAGUAGUCCGUCAUUAAAUCAAGUUGCCGAAGCUCUGUCUUGGAUCCUUUAAACAAAGUCUGCGUUCCAUCUCUGCUUCACUUUCCACACUAUUUCCUGUUAAUCGUCCCUCUUCAAGACCAAUCC